CGCGCAGGCGGAUCAGCAAGUCAGAUGUGAAAUCUCGAAGCUCAACUUCGAAACUGCGUCUGAAACUGCUAGUCUAGAAUGUCGGAAGGGGCAGGGGAAUUUCACGUGUAGGGGUAAAAUCCGUAGAGAUGUGAAGGAACACCGGGGGCGAAGGCGCCUGCCUGGACGACUAUUGACGCUGAGGCGCGAAAGCGUGGGGAGCAAACA
rnacentral:rRNA from 1 species